rnacentral:rRNA from 1 species
GCAGUCGAGCGGAUUGAUGGGAGCUUGCUCCCUGAAGUAGCGGCGGACGGGUGAGUAACACGUGGGUAACCUGCCUGUAAGACUGGGAUAACUCCGGGAAACCGGGGCUAAUACCGGAUAGUUCUUUUCCUCGCAUGAGGAAAAGUGGAAAGGCGGCUUCGGCUGCCACUUACAGAUGGACCCGCGGCGCAUUAGCUAGUUGGUGAGGUAACGGCUCACCAAGGCAACGAUGCGUAGCCGACCUGAGAGGGUGAUCGGCCACACUGGGACUGAGACACGGCCCAGACUCCUACGGGAGGCAGCAGUAGGGAAUCUUCCGCAAUGGACGAAAGUCUGACGGAGCAACGCCGCGUGAGUGAUGAAGGUUUUCGGAUCGUAAAGCUCUGUUGUUAGGGAAGAACAAGUGCCGUUCGAAUAGGGCGGCACCUUGACGGUGCCUAACCAGAAAGCCACGGCUAACUACGUGCCAGCAGCCGCGGUAAUACGUAUGUGGCAAGCGUUGUCCGGAAUUAUUGGGCGUAAAGCGCGCGCAGGCGGUCUC